rnacentral:rRNA from 1 species
ACUCCUACGGGAGGCAGCAGUGAGGAAUAUUGGUCAAUGGGCGGGAGCCUGAACCAGCCAAGUAGCGUGCAGGAUGACGGCCCUAUGGGUUGUAAACUGCUUUUGAAGGGGAGUAAAGUGAGUGACUUGUCAUUCAUUGCAAGUACCCUUGGAAUAAGGACCGGCUAACUACGUGCCAGCAGCCGCGGUAAU